rnacentral:rRNA from 1 species
CGCCUACGGGGGGCAGCAGUGGGGAAUAUUGCACAAUGGGGGGAACCCUGAUGCAGCGACGCCGCGUGGGUGAAGGAGCGUUUCGGCGCGUAAAGCCCUAUCGGCAGGGAAGAAGAUGACGGUACCUGACCAAGAAGCCCCGGCUAACUACGUGCCAGCCGCCGCGGUAAUACGUAGGGGGCAAGCGUUAUCCGGCUUUACUGGGUGUAAAGGGGGCGCAGACGGCGAUGCAAGCCAGGAGUGCAAGCC